rnacentral:lncRNA from 1 species
CUUGGCCGUUGCUGGUGGAUUUAGUGGUGAAACCAAUCUAUGUCUAUCCAACAAAAAAUGGUGAAUUACGUGAAUUGACUUUUUGAACCCCUCGAAAAUAUUUAAUUAAUGGCAAAAGAUAGCUUGUAACGAUGGCAAAAUAGGUGCCAGUUAUUGAAAUCUGUCGGUAAAGAUGUAACUUAAAUCAUUCCCUAAUCUAUGGUUCUAAAGGAUUAGUCUAAUAUAAUUAUAAAUAGAGGAUGACAAACAUUAGUAAUUAACUUAGCCCAUAGCUCAGAACAGUUGCGAAGCUUAAAUUACAGUUGUCCUUUUUCAUUAAACUCCAAUCUUUUCUUUACAUCUAAUUCCAUAAUGGAUUCUCUUUCUUCCAAUAGCUGUCUUGUCUUUAGUCUUAUUCAUCGGCAACACAGGCUGUAAGAGAGACGAAUUAUCAGACAACUAAGACUCGUCGAAUAGAAAUAUAAUCACAAAUGCAAACAACAUAACAUUAAUCUGCAAAUGGUAAAUAAUUGUUUUUUUAAGAUGGACACAAACAAAAACAAAGAAUGACUACUAUAAUAGGCAGAAAACAAGUAUAACUGAUUAUAAUUCAGGAUACAUCUUAGCUCGUAUAAGUCGAGUAAUAGUUAUAAAUGUUUACAGAAUAGAGUACAACAACAAUUACCCAAUAUAAUCCCACAAAGUGGGGUCUGGGGAACCGAAUAGAGUACACGUUCAGAAAAAUUUCAUAAUAGCCUGCCUGCCCUCUGAUAAAAUCGUAAAUCUUGAUUCUUGAACAAGAUAAUUAGGUUUUCUAGCACCAGAUGCUAGUAUAAUAAAAGCUAAAAGCAGGGAUUCCAUCCAAUUAAGAGGAAAUUAUCUCUAUCAGCCAAUGGCUAGAGAGGUAAAAUCGCUAGUAGAAACUAUGAAAAGCGUAAAUGGUACAAAGGUUAAAGGCAAAGCUUAGGAUUCAUCUUCAGCUGUUUCAGGACAAUCUCGUAAUAGCCCAUUACGUUGUUAGAAUUGAAUUGGAAAAUUUGUCAGAAAGCAUGACACAUAAUAGAAGAGAAAAUAUAUUAACAAAACAAGAAACAAGUAUGCUCUCUUUAUGCUGCAUACAGUGAACUUGGAUUGUCACCAAAAUUUACGGACAAUAGUGCUAUGUUCGCCAAAAAUUUGGAAAGCACACAAAAAAGACUUAUGCUAGUACACUUUAAUGACAUUCAAGACUGCUUUGCUGCUAAAAAUCAAAAACAGAAGUAAUUACUUUUAGCAAGCGUGAUUGUAAGUUAAAAGAGAAAAAUUCUCAAGAAAAGCCCAGAGAAGACCCCUAAUGCAUCAGUAGCUUCCUUCAAUAAUUUUCCCCCCACUAUCACUGUCAACUGCCUCUAAUGUUGGAUACCCACUAAUCCUGCCAUCUCCUCCACUCUCCACCUCUUCUAAACAUCUCAUUACCCCAUUCCACCCUUCACAUAUUCUUCCUGGACCUAAUUUGACCCGCUCACACAGCUCACAAGCGGUCCAUACCACUACCUUAUCCCAUGAAGCACACAAACGCCUGCUGUGAAAACUAGUGAUUUUUUCUCGUCAAACCUGGCACAUUCAGUCAUCAUCGGAAAUCAGCUAGAGCUACCACUGAAACUUUCCAGCACAACUUUAAAAAUCCCAGAUAUAAAGGCCUAUUAUCCAUGAAAACACAAACUACCAAUACAAUUAGAACUGUAACCUCAUUUCUGCAUAUCUUCCACCUCCAAACACCUCCCUUGUUAAAAAAAGUUAACUUGCUACUCUAUGCAUGUAUCUGCACUCUCUUCACAGAUUCCUUACAUCAUCAAUCAUCUGCAGAUCUGUCAAUUAGCUCCUGUGCCUCACACUAAAUCACUUACGAUCUCAAGUCAACCAGCAAGUGCCCCAUUAUAGAGCACAACGAAGAAUUACGCUACACCAUAACUAUCUGAAAACAUAAAAUUGGAAUAUAAACGCUAUCACCUUAACAGCAUGAUCACUGCUGGAGCUCCACAAGAAGAGGAAACAAACCCUAAGGUCCUUGUCAGCUAAGGUGUGUGCUAUAUGUUCUAGCAAAAACUAAUAUGGCUCGUGCCUUCUUAAAGAAUGUCCAUCCUUGUAAAAUUUAUUUAUUCUAAUUUGACAAAUUGCAUUAUUCACUUCUAUUAUGUUUCAAAAAAUCUUUGCUCAACCCUCAGGGGUUGGCCUGGUGGCAAUUGACUUGAGCCUUGGGGUUUGCUCCCUUUCAAGGUCUUAAGUUCGAAAUCUAUUGGGUGCAAAUUGCAGUGUUCACUUCUAUUAUGUUUCAAAAAAGGGAAAAGAUCCAAAAAUAUCCCUAAACUAUGGUAUAUAGCUCAAUUUUGUCCUCCAUUAGUAAACUGGGCCAAAAAUUUCCUUCCCGUUAACACAAUGGGCCACUAAUGUCCUUCAACUUAACAGCCCUCCACACAAGUCAUUUUCAUCCUACAUGGCAUCCACGUAGCUGUAACAUGGCAGCCACAUAAGCGGGCAGCCUUCAAAACCCGCCCCGAAACCCAUUUUUCUGCUGGGCAACUUUGAAGCACCAUUUCUCAGCGAUGAAAACAGCUUAUCCCAUUUUUCACCCAUGAAAAUGCAACUUUGAAGCACCAUUUUCCUCACUUUAGCGCCUCAUUUUCACCACCAAAGCAGCCCUCUUCUCUGUCCAAAAACGAUCCCCAAAAUAGCAGCCGAAACAGUUGUGUUGCUGCUUAAAAAACCAGCCAUGAAAGCCACCAUUUUCUCCUCCAAAAAGCUACUCACCUCCAGCCCGUUUCAGCCAUGAAUUUGUGCAAUUUCAGCUCUAAAAACUUGGGUGAAAAAGCAGCAAACUUCAGUCACAAAACAUCACCAAAUUCAGCAGCGAGACAGGCACGAAACACCCCCAAAAAAUGCAGCAAAACAAGCUGCGAAAUCAACACCAUUAAAGCAUCAAAAACACCAAAAAAUGACCCGAAAUGGCAGCUAAAAAACGCUGCUCAACCCCAUUCCAAAACUACCAGAAACCAGCUGUAAAACCUCACUUAAAAGUUAAAACCACCCAAAACGCAAAGAAAAUAGCAUCCCUUUCUCGCGCAAAAACACCAGCUCCAAAUGUUGAGUUUCACGCCAUCAUUGGAAAUGGGUUUCGGAGCGGAAUUAGAAGGCUGUCCGCUUAUGUGGCUACCAUGCCACAGCUACGUGGAUGCUGUGUAGGAUCAAAAUGACUUGUGUGGAGGGCUGUUAGGUCGAGGGACAUUAGUGGCUCAUUGUGCUAACGAUGAGCAUAUUUUUUUCCCAGAGGACAAAAGUGAGCUAUAUAAAAUAGUUUAGGGAUAUUUUUGGACCUUUUCCGUUCAAAAAAUAGUCUUUGCUCAACCUGUAUUAAAAUUUUUGGUUUUCCGGGAAAGAACUUAUUAUUGUAGCUCUACAUAGUUUCAGCUCAAUGAGAAAUGAGCUUAUAAAAUAUGAGACAGUGCAUGGUGGUAACCGUAGUUCAUCUACAUCAACAUGCUGUUGAAAGGUCAGACAACAGGCUCUUACUGCAGCUUUUCAUAUCAAGAACUAUCAGUUGUCAUGCAAAAGCUGCAGCUUUUGCAACUUUAAAGUCACUAUGCAUAGCUAAAUGAGCAUAACAUACAGAAAAAACACAAUACUAUAAAAAUAUGAACAAUUAAUACUGAUUUUCUGAUUACGUGAGUAUUGAUUUAUAUGUUGCGGAGCCAUGAUUCGAAGUUUAUAGGUCUAGAACUAGCCAUCGAACACAUAGCUCUCUUAGUUACUAGGUUUGCAAUUAAAAAGUUAUACAUGUUUAAUGGAUUUCCUAAUACAUAUACAGGAUCUAAGCAAAAGCUAAUGAAUUCGUCCGAACCCAUAGCUAAUACUCUAGCUCCACACAUUGUUAUAAGUGGCACUCACGCCAUAUAGAGCAAAUCUCAAGUUAAAGCAAUGUCUAGCAGCAGGAAUGCACCCUAUUCUUUGCAACCAACUACAUGUAAAUGCUAACAAAUAUACAUGAUUUGUUUUUCUUUUGUGCAUGUAUUACCAAGGUUAUGAAUAGCACUUGUGAAGGUGGAGAAUCAGACAAUUAUACAUGACGGAUUUCUAUCCAGACUGUGCUCUUCCCUUGGAUAAUGGAGGUACUUUACCACAUCACAACUGAAAGCUU